rnacentral:ncRNA from 1 species
GCUCGAAAAAGGCAAAACAUCCGAAAGGAUGAGACGCAAAGCCACUGGCCUAAGUCCAAGGAUAUGGCAGCAGGGUUGCCGGG